GAAAUCAAGAAGAGAGAACUCAAAUUUUGUAGCUAUAAAAUACCCCUAAAUUCCUUAAACCCCCAUUUUCAGUCUCUGCUUCUCUCACACUCACACUGCAGUGUCUCUUUCGUUAGUGGAAAUUUGAAAAAAGGAAGAAGAAAGAGGCUCUCAAUCUUCAGUAUGGAUUUGUUUAGGCAGGCUAUUCUUCGACAAGGGCCACCUGAAGAAUUCGCUCUUCUAACUGUUCAAGAAGCUAUAAAACCUCAGAAGCAAACUAAGCUAGUCCAAGAUGAGAAUCAGCUGUUGGAAAAUAUUCUCAGGUCGCUACUUCAAGAAUUGGUGGCUGCUGCAGUUCAGUCGGGGCAGAAACUCAUGAAGUACGGAGUGUCAAUUGUUGAUGGUGAAUCAAGUCAGGGUCAGAUUCCCCGCCUUCUUGAUAUUGUUCUAUAUCUUUGUGAGAAAGAGCACGUCGAAGGUGGCAUGAUAUUUCAACUUUUGGAAGAUUUGACAGAAAUGUCAACAAUGAGAAAUUGUGAGGACGUUUUUGGGUAUAUAGAGAGCAAACAAGACAUAUUGGGGAAG
rnacentral:misc_RNA from 1 species